GGCGAUGCAGCUCAGUGGUACACCAUUCGCUUUGCACAUGAAAAGCUCUAGGUUCGAUCUCUAGUAUCUCCG